GUCUCUUCGGAGAUAGUGGCGGACGGGUGAGUAACGCGUGAGAAACUGCCUUCAGAUUGGGGACAACAGUUGGAAACGACUGCUAAUACCGAAUGUGCCUUAGGGUAAAAGAUUUAUCGUCUGAAGAUGUGCUCGCGUCUGAUUAGCUAGUUGGUGAGGUAAAAGCUUACCAAGGCAACGAUCAGUAGCUGUUCUGAGAGGAAGACCAGCCACACUGGGACUGAGACACGGCCCAGACUCCUACGGGAGGCAGCAGUGGGGAAUUUUCCGCAAUGGGCGAAAGCCUGACGGAGCAAUACCGCGUGUGGGAGGAAGGCCCUUGGGUCGUAAACCACUUUUCUUAGGGAAGAAGCCCUGACGGUACCUAAGGAAUAAGCCUCGGCUAACUCCGUGCCAGCAGCCGCGGUAAUACGGAGGAGGCAAGCGUUAUCCGGAAUUAUUGGGCGUAAAGAGUCCGUAGGUGGUUACUCAAGUCUGCUGUUAAAGACAGAAGCUCAACUUCUGGUGGGCAGUGGAAACUGAGCAACUAGAGUAUGGUAGGGGUAGAGGGAAUUCCCAGUGUAGCGGUGAAAUGCGUAGAGAUUGGGAAGAACACCGGUGGCGAAAGCGCUCUACUGGGCCAAAACUGACACUGAGGGACGAAAGCUAGGGUAGCGAAAGGGAUUAGAUACCCCUGUAGUCCUAGCCGUAAACGAUGGGUACUAGGCGUAGCUUGUAUCGACCCGAGCUGUGCCGAAGCAAACGCGUUAAGUA
rnacentral:rRNA from 1 species